rnacentral:rRNA from 1 species
GAUGAACGCUGGCGGCGUGCCUAAUACAUGCAAGUCGAGCGAAUGGAUUAAGAGCUUGCUCUUAUGAAGUUAGCGGCGGACGGGUGAGUAACACGUGGGUAACCUGCCCAUAAGACUGGGAUAACUCCGGGAAACCGGGGCUAAUACCGGAUAACAUUUUGAACCGCAUGGUGCGAAAUUGAAAGGCGGCUUCGGCUGUCACUUAUGGAUGGACCCGCGUCGCAUUAGCUAGUUGGUGAGGUAACGGCUCACCAAGGCAACGAUGCGUAGCCGACCUGAGAGGGAGAGCGGCCACGCUGGGACGGAGACACGGCCCAGACUCCUACGGGAGGCAGCAGUAGGGAAUCUUCCGCAAUGGACGAAAGUCUGACGGAGCAACGCCGCGUGAGUGAUGAAGGCUUUCGGGUCGUAAAACUCUGUUGUUAGGGAAGAACAAGUGCUAGUUGAAUAAGCUGGCACCUUGACGGUACCUAACCAGAAAGCCACGGCUAACUACGUGCCAGCAGCCGCAGUAA